GCCGUCUAGCUCAGUCGGUAGAGCGCUGGCCUUUUAAGCCAGUGGUCGUGGGUUCGAGCCCCACGGGGGGCG
rnacentral:tRNA from 1 species